rnacentral:rRNA from 1 species
GACGAACGCUGGCGGCGUGCUUAACACAUGCAAGUCGAGCGGUAAGGCCCUUUCGGGGGUACACGAGCGGCGAACGGGUGAGUAACACGUGGGUGACCUGCCCUCAGCUCUGGGAUAAGCCUGGGAAACUGGGUCUAAUACUGGAUAUGACUCCACGGUGCAUGUCGUGGGGUGGAAAGCCUUGUGCGGCUGAGGAUGGGCCCGCGGCCUAUCAGCUUGUUGGUGGGGUGAUGGCCUACCAAGGCGACGAUGGGUAGCCGGCCUGAGAGGGCGACCGGCCACACUGGGACUGAGACACGGCCCAGACUCCUACGGGAGGCAGCAGUGGGGAAUCUUGCGCAAUGGGCGAAAGCCUGACGCAGCGACGCCGCGUGAGGGAUGACGGCCUGG